rnacentral:rRNA from 1 species
UAAAUGACUCUCGGCAACGGAUAUCUCGGCUCUCGCAUCGAUGAAGAACGUAGCGAAAUGCGAUACUUGGUGUGAAUUGCAGAAUCCCGUGAACCAUCGAGUCUUUGAACGCAAGUUGCGCCCCAAGCCUUUAGGCCGAGGGCACGCCUGCCUGGGUGUCACACA